GAUGAACGCUGGCGGCGUGCCUAAUACAUGCAAGUCGAGCGAACGGACGAGAAGCUUGCUUCUCUGAUGUUAGCGGCGGACGGGUGAGUAACACGUGGAUAACCUACCUAUAAGACUGGGAUAACUUCGGGAAACCGUAGCUAAUACCGGAUAAUAUUUUGAACCGCAUGGUUCAAAAGUGAAAGACGGUCUUGCUGUCACUUAUAGAUGGAUCCGCGCUGCAUUAGCUAGUUGGUAAGGUAACGGCUUACCAAGGCAACGAUGCAUAGCCGACCUGAGAGGGUGAUCGGCCACACUGGAACUGGGACACGGUCCAGACUCCUACGGGAGGCAGCAGUAGGGAAUCUUCCGCAAUGGGCGAAAACCUGACGGAGCAACGCCGCGUGAGUGAUGAAGGUCUUCGGAUCGUAAAACUCUGUUAUUAGGGAAGAACAUAUGUGUAAGUAACUGUGCACAUCUUGACGGUACCUAAUCAGAAAGCCACGGCUAACUACGUG
rnacentral:rRNA from 1 species